UCGAGAGGAAGCACUGGCUAACUCUGUGCCAGCAGCCGCGGUAAUACAGAGAGUGCAAACGUUGUUCGGAAUCACUGGGCUUAAAGAGCACGUAGGCGGCGCUACAAGUGUCGGGUGAAAUCCCACGGCUCACCCGUGGAACUGCCCGGCAGACUGUGGUGCUCGAGUGUGGUAGGGGAGAGCGGAACUCCAGGUGGAGCGGUGAAAUGCGUAGAUAUCUGGAGGAACACCGGUGGCGAAGGCGGCUCUCUGGUCCACAACUGACGCUGAGGUGCGAAAGCUAGGGGAGCAAACGGGAUUAGAUACCCCGGUAGUCCUAGCUGUAAACGAUGGACACUAGCUUGGGGUCUCCCUGUGUGAUCCCAGGUGAAGCAAAAGUGAUAAGUGUCCCGCCUGGGGAGUAUGGUCGCAAGGCUGAAACUCAAAGGAAUUGACGGGGG
rnacentral:rRNA from 1 species